rnacentral:misc_RNA from 1 species
UUCGGGUUGUGUCUCGAUCGUCCGGUCGCACCCCUUUCGGAGGUGGCGUCGGGGGGUCGGAAUUAUCUCGGACAGUUUUGGGACGACGCAUGAGUAGCAAUCAGGAUAGGUUCCCUUUGCAGGCUCCGUGCUUCUCGCAUCGAACUGCUUUGUUCUAUCCGUUUCAUUUGAUCGCUCGCCUCGUUGCCCCGAGGGUUGGUUGCGAGCGAAGGGUGGGUUCCUGUGCUCGAUACCGUAUUGCGGUACUCGGAUUCAAUGUUGUCCACGUCUUGGUUGCCUUGUUCCUCCUCUGCCUCCUGGGCGUUGGUGGAUAUCGUGCGGGCAUCGACGCUUUCCGUCCGGACGGUCGUCCACCUCUGGGCGUUUCCUCUCGUGUCGGCGCGUCGAUGCCGUCCGCGUGCUCUUGGGUACGGAGAUAUCUCUUGUCAUCGCGCGGUCUUUGUUGGCCGUCGCGAUCUCGACGUGUCGAAGCUCCUUUGCUUCCGCUCGGGUGACCCUCGUGCUUUCCGUGGAGCUCGCGGGGCCUCACCGCUUCGCGUUCGUCCUUGGAGGCAUCGAGGUCUACAAUGGAAUGCUACCUGGUUGAUCCU